GAUGAAGAACGUAGCGAAAUGCGAUAAGUAGUGUGAAUUGCAGAAUUUAGUGAAUCAUCGAAUCUUUGAACGCACAUUGCGCCCUAUAGUAUUCUGUAGGGCAUGCCUGUUCGAGCGUUAUUGAGACCUCAAGCUCUGCUUGGAAAUGGGCGCUUGUCUUGCCUUGCAGACUCGCCUUAAAACCAUUGGCAGCUGAUUUACAAUGUUUGGUGCACAGUACAUGAGCCCAAGUGUUGCAAUGAGUGGCCCAAAAGUAUACGAUAGAAGAUUAACCUCGGAUCAGGUAGGGAUACCCGCUGAACUUAAGCAUAUCAAUAAGCGGAGGA
rnacentral:misc_RNA from 1 species